GCGGGUUUAGCUCAGUUGGGAGAGCGUCAGACUGAAGUCAAACUUCAAUCAUUAUCAUUCGAUAUCUGAAGGUCAUGUGUUCGAUCCACAUAAACCGCA
rnacentral:tRNA from 2 species